rnacentral:misc_RNA from 1 species
GUGAAUCAUCAAAUUUUUGAACGCAAAUUGCGCUUCCUGGCAUCCCGGGGAGUAUGCCUGUUUGAGGGUCAGUAUUAAUAAAAAAUCGGUUUAUUUACAAAUUGUGACGUUUCCGGAGUGUUUGCUAUCUUAACAUUUUUGGUUAAGAGACUUAAAAUUGACCUUGUUUUCUCAUUUUUAAACUUACAUAAAUUUUUUUAUUUGUGCAAUCUUGAAUCCUAAGUUUUAUUAAUAUC